CGCCGUGGAGUAGCGGUAGCCCAUCCAACCAGUCUGCGCUUGAAGCUCGCGGCUGCUGUGAUCGACCACGUGUUAGCCGUCUUCACCUUGACCCUCUCUCCUCUACCCCGUCUUCCGUCUUGUUUGGCCCUUUCAGUCCCUGCUCCACCGAUCAGAGGUGUCAUGGAGUCUCAGCUAGCGAGGCCGUCGGGUACGCGGUGGUGGCAUAUGUGCGCACGCCGGCUAGGGCAGAGGCCCUGAUCGCCGCUGGAGUGUGCCUAGCGGACACGGCGGCCUCCAUCGCCGCUACCUCCGACAUGGUCUUCACGGUGGUCGACGAUCUCCGGAAGAUCAUGGUCGGCAACCCUGGCGACGUCCGUGCCGUCGGCGGCGGUGCCGCCCACAAGAAGGUGCCUGGAGGGAGGUGUAUGCAGAAUUGCAGACUAUGGCGGCGGUCAUGAACACGACAAUGGUGUGUGGGCACGUGAGUUCCAUCGGGCCGUUGUUGCCGGACACCACCGGCGUCGACAAUCUUCGGAAGGCUUGCAGCACAUGAACACAACCUGAUGACCUCCAGGCCUUCGGUUUCUGCCGGUAGAAGCAGAAGGGGUGCAGGGACAUGGCGGUGCGGACGAGAGGUUGUGGCGCGUCAUCUUCGCCGCGGACGCUUCGAAGACCUGCAGCACGGCCGUCGGAUGUCGUCCUCCGCCUCACGCUUCGGUAACAAAACAGCGUCAGCACCAUGGCCCUUGACUCCUGUGGCCCCUUCAUGCUGGCUGCGGCCGCCCCCCAUGGCCCCCCGCUUCGAUGAUGGGUGGAUCCUGAGUGCGGACGGAGGGAACUGUGACACUGCAGGCCUCGUCGUUCGUGUCGUGAGGCGACCAGAAGCCAGAGGUACUAUAUAUGUGCCCAUGCUCAUGCGCCACCUCGCCACCCCAGGGCUCUUGGUCGUUUCCAUGACGCCGGAGUCGCGUCAUGUAGCGCUCGCCUGUACGCAACCAUCUCGGGCGCGGGAAAGCACGCCGCCUAGCCGUGCCCGCGAUCAGCCGCCUGGCUUGCUGCAUGGCAGCACCGAUACGUAGCAUAGGUCAGUGUCGUUGGCGUACUGGCUCCCCGGCAGCGUAUUGAUCUACCUGUGCUGCGGUAUUUCUCCUAUGUGUUUGUUGGCAGAGACGUUGAGCAGCAUGACGAAGGAGAGGCCGGAGAACAAUUUCGCUACAAGAUUCCACCGCGGCGAAUUCGUUUUGCUAUAAUUCCGUUCAGUUACACGCCUGAUUAAUCGCUAUAGCCUGACUCUGUAUGUGUCCAUCAUGAGUAACUUGAUAAAGCUAUAAUGUCAGUCUUUGGUUAACAAUUGCAUUUCUAAAGUCUAAUGUCAACGGAGUAAAUCUAGACAUGAAUUGCAAUCAAGAUUAAUCAUUGGAUGUUCUCUCUUUCUUUGACCUUGAUUAAGAUUGUGUUAUCGGGAAAAGGUAAUUAGGUAUCUCCCUUGCUACAUAAUUUUGUAAAUUGUUCUAUUUCAGAUGACAUAGCAAUGUUGCUGGACAUGCCUCUCAACAAUACAUGCAUAGGUGACCACGUUACGGCCAAGAGCAGUGGCCAAGAGGCCGUACUGAAAUAGAGCUUCCCUUCGACGGUUUUUGAACAAGCUCUCAAACUGAAGGUGAGUGGCACUCUGAAAUGAUUCCAUAUUAUGGCAAGUUACCAAUGUCAACAGGCAGAACAGUGGAUUAUUUUAUCUACUUGGGUUUUACCAUUUUUUAUUUA